rnacentral:sRNA from 2 species
UCAUCUUCUUCUAUAUCUACGAUAUUUUUAAAUUUACUUUUAAAUUUAUCGCGUUUAGAUCUAAUUUUAUCUAAAUCUACACUUCUUCUUGUCUUACGUGCAUAUUCUGAUGUUUUAUCUUGAAGUUG